AUGGGCACCCGGGUGCCGCCCGUUCCCAUGGAUCCCGCGGCCGCGGCGAAGUCCCGCCGCGACCGCCAUGACCCGGACGAGAUGGAGGGCCUCUUCUCCCGCAUGCUCUCCCGGACCCGCAACGUCCUCCCAGACCCGCCCGUCUCCGUCGACGGCCGCCUCUUCGCUCACCUCCCCCACGACUUCGUCGACUGCAUCAGCCGCCUCCCCGACGUGCUCCUCGGCAACAUCGUCUCCCGCCUCCCAGUCAAGGAAGCCGCGCGCACGGCCGCGCUCUCCCGGCGCUGGCGUGGGGUCUGGCGCUCCACCCCGCUCGUCCUCGUCGACUCUCACAUCCUCCCCGCAGACGCAGGCACCGCGGUCGCGCGCGCCGACGCGCGGCGCAUCACCUCCGCCGUCUCCCGCAUCCUCGCCGCGCACCCGGGUCCCUUUCGCUGCGUCCACCUCACCAGCAGCUACAUGGAAGAGUUCGAUGGCCUGCUCAGGCGCUGGCUCCAGAUCCUCGCCGACAAGGGCAUCGAGGAACUCAUCCUCAUCAACCGCCCAAUGCCGCUCGGCUGCCUUCUCCGCUCCACGUUCUUUCUCCCCUCCACGUUCUUAGGCAUGACCACCCUCACCUGUCUCUACCUCGGCCUCUGGAAGUUCCCCGACACGACCGGCGUCAAGCGCGUCACCUUUUUCCCUAACCUCCGUGAGCUUGGGCUCUGCACCGUCCUCAUGGAGAGCAAGGAUUUGGACUUCAUCCUCGACAGGAGCCCCGUGCUUGAGACGCUCUGUGUGGAAAGCAAUAUUUUCAAGCUUGGCCUUCGCCUUGUCAGCCAAAGCAUCCGGUGCGUGAAGAUCAUCCUGUCCUUCUUUGAGGAAAUCGCUGUGGUGGACGCCCCAUGCCUGGAGCGACUCAUCCUAUCAGGAGGUUGGACCAAAGACGGUGUCUGUACCAAGGUGAAGAUCGGCCAUGCCCCCAAGUUGCACUCGCUUGGAUACUUGGAUUCAGAAAAUCAUGUCCUAGAGUUCGGCAACACUGUCAUCAAGGCUGGGACAAAGACGAGCCCAAGCACCAUGGUACCAAGUGUGAGGAUCCUGGCUUUGGAGGUGCGUUGUGGAGUCCGCAGUUAUGCCAAGAUGAUCCCGACUGUCCUCAGAUGCUUUCCGAAUGUUGAGACGCUCCACAUCAUGUCUGGAGAAACUGGUCAACCCUCUGGCAAGCACAACCUUGAGUUCUGGAAUGAGUCUGGUACCAUAAAAUGCAUCCGCUCAUGCAUCAAGCUGCUGGUUUUCCAUGAUUUCCGAGGGGAUCGAAGUGAGCUUGCUUUCCUCAAGUUUUUCUUUAAGAGUGCGUUGGUGCUGGAGGAGGCGUUGAUAGUGAUGGCAAAUGGAAGUUUCACUUCGAUGGAGGAUAUGCUUUCCAAAGUGAAGCCUCUGGGAUCCAUGAAACGGGCCAGUUCAGACUCCACAAUCACGAUUAAUCCCCAAGGAGGUAGCAUUUGGAACUUCAAGAAAGCAUCCGACUUUUCUCUUUGCGACCCUUUCGCGAACGACUGA
rnacentral:rRNA from 1 species